rnacentral:rRNA from 1 species
GAUGAACGCUGGUGGCGUGCUUAACACAUGCAAGUCGAGCGAAGCGAUUUUAAAGAAGCCUUCGGGUGGAAUUAAAAUUGACUUAGCGGCGGACGGGUGAGUAACGCGUGGGUAACCUGCCUCAUACAGGGGGAUAACAGUUAGAAAUGACUGCUAAUACCGCAUAAGCGCACAGUGCUGCAUAGCACAGUGUGAAAAAAUCCGGUGGUAUGAGAUGGACCCGCGUCGGAUUAGGUAGUUGGUGAGGUAACGGCCCAACAAGCCGACGAUCAGUAGCCGACCUGAGAGGGUGACCGGCCACAUUGGGACUGAGACACGGCCCAAACUCCUACGGGAGGCAGCAGUGGGGAAUAUUGGACAAUGGGGGAAACCCUGAUCCAGCGACGCCGCGUGACUGAAGAAGUAUUUCGGUAUGUAAAGGUCUAUCAGCAGGGAAGAUAAUGACGGUACUAUAUGAAUAAGCACCGGCUAACUCCGUGCCAGCCGCCGCGGUAA